GCAAGUCGAGCGGAGUGAUGGUGCUUGCACUAUCACUUAGCGGCGGACGGGUGAGUAAUGCUUAGGAAUCUGCCUAUUAGUGGGGGACAACAUUUCGAAAGGAAUGCUAAUACCGCAUACGUCCUACGGGAGAAAGCAGGGGAUCUUCGGACCUUGCGCUAAUAGAUGAGCCUAAGUCGGAUUAGCUAGUUGGUGGGGUAAAGGCCUACCAAGGCGACGAUCUGUAGCGGGUCUGAGAGGAUGAUCCGCCACACUGGGACUGAGACACGGCCCAGACUCCUACGGGAGGCAGCAGUGGGGAAUAUUGGACAAUGGGCGCAAGCCUGAUCCAGCCAUGCCGCGUGUGUGAAGAAGGCCUUAUGGUUGUAAAGCACUUUAAGCGAGGAGGAGGCUACUGAAGUUAAUACCUUCAGAUAGUGGACGUUACUCGCAGAAUAAGCACCGGCUAACUCUGUGCCAGCAGCCGCGGUAAUACAGAGGGUGCAAGCGUUAAUCGGAUUUACUGGGCGUAAAGCGCGCGUAGGCGGCUAAUUAAGUCAAAUGUGAAAUCCCCGAGCUUAACUUGGGAAUUGCAUUCGAUACUGGUUAGCUAGAGUGUGGGAGAGGAUGGUAGAAUUCCAGGUGUAGCGGUGAAAUGCGUAGAGAUCUGGAGGAAUACCGAUGG
rnacentral:rRNA from 1 species